rnacentral:rRNA from 1 species
UUAACCUAACGUGCCAGGCAGCCGCGGUAAUACGUUAGGGGGCUAGCGUUGUCAGGAUUUAUUGGGGCGUAAAAGAGCGUGUUAGGGCGGCCAGAACAGGUCCUGCUGUGAAAACUCGAGGGCUUCAACCUCGAGAUGUCGGCGGGAAACCGUCUGGCUAGAGUCCCGGAAAGAGGAGAGUGGAAUUUCCUGGUGUAGCGGUGAAAUGCGCAGAUAUCAGGAAGAACACCUAUGGCGAAGGCAGCUCUCUGGGACGGUACUGACGCUGAGACGCGAAAGCGUGGGGAGCGAACAGGAUUAGAUACCCUGGUAGUCCACGCCGUAAACGAUGGGUGCUAGGUGUGGGCGGUGUCGACUCCGUCCGUGCCGAAGCUAACGCAUUAAGCACCCCGCCCUGGGGGAGUACGGCCCGCAAGGCUAAAACUCAAAGGAAUUUGACGGGGGCCCGCACAAGCAGCGGAGCAUGGUGGUUUAAUUCGACGCGACGCGAAGAACCUAACCAAGCCUGGACAUGUACCGGAAUGCCGUUAGAAAAUACCGGCAGCCCUUCAGGGCAGGUACACAGGUGGUGCAUGGCUGUC